GUAUUAAUAAUUUAAAUAAAAAUAUUAGUCUUGUAAACUAAUCAUAAGAAUCUAAUUUCUUUUAAUACU
rnacentral:tRNA from 1 species